CAUUCACUAAAUACUAUUUGGACAUUUAACAAAAAUUAAAUGUGUCAUUGAAUAUUAUUAAACAAAUUUGCAGCGGGGGUUAUAUAUGUGUGUUAAAGAUCUAAACUUUAAUUACAGACACAUAAAUAAAAUAUAAAUCAGAAAAAUACUUGUUAUAAAAAAAGAAAUUAAUAGAAUAAAAGAAUUGAAAUAAAUAAUGUGAGCACUAAUUUUGGCUCCUUUCAAAUCAUAAUUUUAUUUUAUUCUCUCUCUAAUUUUAUGAAUUUCAUAAAUAAAUUGAUUUUUUCUUCAAAUAAUUCUUCUUUUAUUCUUCUCUUAAUUUAAUAUGAAUUCCAUAAAUAGAUAAUUCUUCUUGGCCUUUGGACAGAUCACUCUUCCUAUAAAUUUCUCAAUCAAGUUAAUUUUUUCUCAGCAUGUAUCUUUUUGUAAAAGAAAUUAUAGUAUAAUAUCCUUUCAAAAAGUUUAUUAUUUUGAGAAAAAAUGUAUGAAUUCCAUAAAUAGAUAAUUCUUCUUGGCCUUUGAACACUUAUCACUCUUCCUAAAAAUUUCUCAAUCAAGUUAAUUUUUUCUUCAGCAUGUAUCUUUUUGUAAAAGGAUUUAUAGUAUAAUAUCCUUUCAAAAAGUCUAUUAUUUUGAGAAAAAAUGGUUGUUG
rnacentral:lncRNA from 1 species